rnacentral:lncRNA from 1 species
CUGUUUCCAUCCCUGUCACCUGUCCCUGUUCCCUGUCCCCAUCCCCAUUCCUGUCCCUUGUCCCUGUCCCGUUCUCUGUCCCCUGUCCCCAUCACCUGUCCCCAUCUUUAUCUCCAUUCCCCUGUCCCCUGUCCCUAUUCUUGUCACCAUCCCCUGUCCCCACCAUCCCUGUCCCUCGCACUUGUCCCCUGUCCCCAUCCCUAUCCCCAUAACUGUCCCAUUCCCUGUCCCCUCGCCCUGUCCCCUGUCCUUAUCCCCAUCCUUGUCCCCGUCCCUGUCCCCAUCCCUGUCCUCUGUUUCCAUCCCUGUCACCUGUCCCUGUUCCCUGUCCCCAUCCCCAUUCCUGUCCCUUGUCCUUUGUCCCUGUCCCCUGUUCUCUGUCCCCUGUCCCCGUCACCUGUCCCCAUCUUUAUCUCCAUUCCCGUGUCCCCNNNNNNNNNNNNNNNNNNNNNNNNNNNNNNNNNNNNNNNNNNNNNNNNNNNNNNGAGAUCUGGGGGGGCCCAGCUGCGGGUUGGGCUGAGUUAUGGGGCAGGCUGAGUUGUGGGGUGGGCUCAGUUGUGGAGUGGGCUGAGUUAUGGGGUGGGCUGAGUUGUGGGGUGGGCUCAGUUGUGGGGUGAGCUCAGUUGUGGGGCGGGCUGAGUUGUGGGGCGGGCUGAGUUCAGGGCUGCAAUGCUUCGGGGCUCCGCUGUGGGGCGCUCUCCGCCCUCCGCCUCACGGGUGCCCCCUGCAGGCUUCCACGAGCAGCGCUCCCGCUGCCGGCCCAGCCCGUGCUACAGCGGCGUGGACUGCAUGGAGACCUACGAGUUCCCCGGGUUCCGCUGCGGGCCCUGCCCCCCCGGCACCAGCGGCAACGGCACCCACUGCGCGGACAUCGACGAGGUGCGGGGGGGGCACGAGUGGGCGUCACGGGGGGGGUGUCCCCAGUGGGGUGUCGUGGGUGGGUGUCGCGUGGGUGGACGUCACGUCAUGGGUGGAUGUCNGGGUGGGUGUCCCCAGUGGGGUGUCACGAGUGGGUGUCACUGAUGGGAUGUCACGUCCUGGAUGAAUGUCACCAGUUGGAUGUCAUGGGUGGGUGUCACCAGUGGGAUGUCACGAGUGGGAGUGACACGAGUGGGUGUCAUGUCAUGGGUGGGUGUCCCCAGUGGGGUGUCAUGAGUGGGUGUCACUGGUGGGAUGUCACGUCCUGGAUGGAUGUCACGUCAUGGGUGGACGUCAACAAGUGGGAUGUCACUGGACGGACAUCGUGUCACGAGUGGGUGGGUGUCCCCAGUGGGGUGUCACGAGUGGGUGUCACUGAUGGGAUGUCACGUCCUGGAUGGAUGUCCCCAGUUGGAUGUCAUGGGUGGGUGUCACCAGUGGGGUGUCAUGAGUGGGUGUCCCCAGUGGGGUGUCAUGAGUGGGUGUCACUGGUGGGAUGUCACGUCCUGGAUGGGUGUCACGUCAUGGGUGGAUGUCACUGGUGGGAUGUCACGGGUGGAUGUGAUGUCACGGGUGGGCGUCACCAGCUGGAUGUCAUGGGCGGAUGUCACAUCAUGGGUGGAUGU